rnacentral:rRNA from 1 species
GACGAACGCUGGCGGCGUGCUUAACACAUGCAAGUCGAACGGAAAGGCCCUGCUUUUGUGGGGUGCUCGAGUGGCGAACGGGUGAGUAACACGUGAGUAACCUGCACUUGACUUUGGGAUAACUUCAGGAAACUGGGGCUAAUACCGGAUAGGAGCUCCUGCUGCAGGGUGGGGGUUGGAAAGUUUCGGCGGUUGGGGAUGGACUCGCGGCUUAUCGGCUUGUUGGUGGGGUAGUGGCUUACCAAGACUAUGAAGGGUAGCCGGCCUGCGCGGGUGACCGGCCACAUUGGGACUGAGAUACGGCCCAGACUCGUACGGGAGGCAGCAGUGGGGAAUAUUGCACAAUGGGCGGAAGCCUGAUGCAGCAACGCCGCGUGCGGGAUGACGGCAUUCGGGUUGUAAACCGCUUUCGCCUGUGACGAAGCGUGAGUGACGGUAAUGGGUAAAGAAGCACCGGCUAACUACGUG